UGGCUUGCGUUUUCACACAAACGUCUUCGUAGUCGAAUGUCUUACUUUUGCUUGGUCAUUUAGAGGAAGUAAAAGUCGUAACAAGGUUUCCGUAGGUGAACCUGCGGAAGGAUCAUUCAUAAUAAGUGUUUUACUGCACUUUUUAAACAAGUACUCACCUUGUGUGCAAUGUUUGCUGACAUCGUCGUUCACGCGUCGCGUCAGCAUAAUACCAACCCUUUAUUGAAACUUUUUUGUCUGAAGAUAUUUUGAAUAAAUAAUUCUAAAUACAACUUUCAACAACGGAUCUCUUGGCUCUCGCAUCGAUGAAGAACGCAGCGAAAUGCGAUACGUAAUGUGAAUUGCAGAAUUCAGUGAAUCAUCGAAUCUUUGAACGCACAUUGCACUCUCUGGUAUUCCGGAGAGUAUGCUUGUUUGAGUAUCUGUAAACAUCUCAAAUCUCUUUGCGCUUGCGCAUAAGAGACUUGGAUUUGAGCGAUCCCGACUCCUUCGACAGAAAGAGGAGGGUCGCUUGAAAUGCAGGUGCAGCUGGACAUUCUUCUGAGCUAAAAGCAUAUCUAUUUAGUCCCGUCAAACGGAUUAUUACUUUUGCUUCAGCUAAUACAAAGGUCGAAUGAACUACCAACGCUGAUUGCAGGAAAACUCGUUUUUUUACUAAAACUUGUAAACUCGAUCUCAAAUCAAGUAAGACUACCCGCUGAACUUAAGCAUAUCAAUAAGCGGAGGA
rnacentral:rRNA from 1 species